UACGUAGGGGGCGAGCGUUGUUCGGAAUUACUGGGCGUAAGGGGCGCGUAGGCGGCAUGGCAAGUCAGGAGUGAAAGGCCUGGGCUCAACCGAGGAACUGCUUUUGAUACUGCCAAGCUAGAGUGCGGAAGGGGCAACUGGAAUUCCCAGUGUAGCGGUGAAAUGCGUAGAUAUUGGGAAGAACACCUGAGGCGAAGGCGGGUUGCUGGGCCGACACUGACGCUGAGGCGCGAAAGCCAGGGGAGCAAACGGG
rnacentral:rRNA from 1 species